GGAGGUGGCAAGCGUUGCUCGGAAUCACUGGGCGUAAAGGGCGCGUAGGCGGGGAGGUAAGUCGGGUGUGAAAUCCCUCGGCCCAACCGAGGAACUGCGCCCGAGACUGCUUCUCUUGAGUCCCGGAGAGGAAGAUGGAAUUCCCGGUGUAGCGGUGAAAUGUGUAGAGAUCGGGAGGAACACCGGUGGCGAAGGCGGUCUUCUGGACGGUGACUGACGCUGAGGCGCGAAAGCGUGGGGAGCAAACGGGAUUAGAUACCCCGGUAGUCCACGCUGUAAACGAUGGGUGCUAGGUGUGGGGGGUAUCGACCCCUCCCGUGCCGAAGCUAACGCAUUAAGCACCCCGCCUGGGGAGUACGGCCGCAAGGUUG
rnacentral:rRNA from 1 species